rnacentral:miRNA from 1 species
UGGGCCCUCCAGACCUCAUGC